rnacentral:rRNA from 1 species
CCCCCAGUCUAUGUUCCUUGGAACAGGACGUCACAGAGGGUGAGAAUCCCGUCUGGCGGGGGUGGUCCAGUGCUUUGUAGAUUUCUAUCGACGAGUCGAGUUGUUUGGGAAUGCAGCUCUAAGUGGGUGGUAAAUUCCAUCUAAAGCUAAAUAUUGGCGAGAGACCGAUAGCGAACAAGUACAGUGAUGGAAAGAUGAAAAGAACUUUGAAAAGAGAGUGAAAAAGUACGUGAAAUUGUUGAAAGGGAAGGGUAUUAGAUCAGACUUGGUGUUUUGUGAUUAUCUUCCCUUCUUGGGUUGUGCACUCGCAUUUCACUGGGCCAGCAUCGGUUUGGGUGGCAAGAUAAUGGCUUGGGGAACGUGGCACUGUCUUCGGGCAGUGUGUUUAUAGCCCCUGCUGAUGUUGCCUGCCUAGACCGAGGACUGCGGCUUCUGCCUAGGAUGCUGGCGUAAUGAUCUAACACCGCCCGUCUUGAAACAUGGACCAAGGAGUCUAACGUCUAUGCGAGUGUUUGGGUGUAAAACCCGUACGCGUAAUGAAAGUGAACGUAGGUGAGAGCCCUUCUGGGUGCAUCAUCGACCGAUCCUGAUGUCUUCGGAUGGAUUUGA